GACGUAGGAUGCAAGCGUUAUCCGGAAUGAUUGGGCGUAAAGCGUCCGUAGGUGGCAGUUCAAGUCUGCUGUCAAAGACCGGGGCUUAACUUCGGAAAGGCAGUGGAAACUGAACAGCUAGAGUAUGGUAGGGGCAGAGGGAAUUCCUGGUGUAGCGGUGAAAUGCGUAGAGAUCAGGAAGAACAUCGGUGGCGAAGGCGCUCUGCUGGACCAUAACUGACACUCAGGGACGAAAGCUAGGGGAGCGAAUGGG
rnacentral:rRNA from 1 species